rnacentral:rRNA from 1 species
UACGAAGGGGGCUAGCGUUGCUCGGAAUCACUGGGCGUAAAGCGCACGUAGGCGGCUUUUUAAGUCAGGGGUGAAAGCCCGAGGCUCAACCUCGGAACUGCCUUCGAUACUGCGGGUCUCGAGUCCGGGAGAGGUGAGUGGAAUUCCUAGUGUAGAGGUGAAAUUCGUAGAUAUUAGGAAGAACACCAGUGGCGAAGGCGGCUCACUGGCCCGGUACUGACGCUGAGGCGCGAAAGCGUGGGGAGCAAACAGG